GGCCACAGCUCAGUGGUAGAGCACCUGCUUUCCAAGCAAAUAGGCCCUGGUUCAGUUCCCUGGAUCUCCAGGUAUGGCUA